rnacentral:tRNA from 1 species
GGAGAGGUGGCCGAGUGGCUGAAGGCGCUCGCCUGCUAAGCGAGUAUAGGGUUAUUUCCCUAUCGAGGGUUCGAAUCCCUCCCUCUCCG